AUUGCACGCUGGCGGCAGGCCUAACACAUGCAAGUCGAACGAGUGGCGGACGGGUGAGUAAUGUCUGGGAAACUGCCUGAUGGAGGGGGAUAACUACUGGAACCGGUAGCUAAUACCGCAUACCAUCGGAUGUGCCCAGCUGGGAUUAGCUAGUAGGUGGGGUAACGGCUAACCUAGGCGCCGAUCCCUAGCUGGUCUGAGAGGAUGACCGGCGACACGGGAACUGGGCCACUGUCCAGAAGCGUACGGUAGGCAGCAGUGGGGAAUAUUGGACAAGGGGAGCAAGCCUGAUGCAGCCCUGCCGCGUGUAUGAAGAAGGCCUUCGGGUUGUAAAGUACUUUCAGCGGGGAGGCGUUACCCGCAGAAGAAGCACCGGCUAACUCCGUGCCAGCAGCCGCGGUAAUAC
rnacentral:rRNA from 1 species